UACAGUCAUAUCACAUCAAAACACCAGUUCGUAUCUGUCCAGUCACCAAAGUUAAGCAAUGUUGAGCCUGGUCAGUACUUAGAUGGGUGACUGCUUGGGAAUAUCAGGUGCUGUAA